rnacentral:lncRNA from 1 species
AUAAGAGGCUGGAACCUUUAAAAGGGACCAGCAAGUUUGUUUAACGAAGCCUCUUUGGAAACAUAAUGUAACAACAGUUGUAUAGGAAAAGAGUAUAAUCAACAAGAGCAUCCUUUUUUUUUCGAAAAGUUGACCUUAUUUUUCGUACACAAAUAUAACUUUAAUUUUAAUACAGUGGUUGAAAUGAGCAGAAACAGAUUUACGGUACCAGGGAACCGCCGCCGUAUCAAGCUACAUGUAGAAUAUUUAAUGCAUAGACUUUUACAAGUUCUACUGCUAACGUUAUCUUGCUAUGGCCCAUUUGAAAGUGCCCGGGGCCAUGCCAAUGACAGUAUUCUAGGAUAUCAUUAUUUAGAAUGGAACUAGUACGUGUGAAAUUCAUGUUUAGUAAUGUUCAUGCCUUAUAUUUAUUAAGAAAAAUAAGUUAAAUGUGUUCUAACCCGAAAUUCAAAUGAUUUCAAGUUUUCAUAUACUGCUGAACCAUCUUAUCAGGUGCAAAAAGUGUUGCUAAUGUUGAAAUAUCUUUUAGCUUUAAAAGGGGACACGAUUUAUUUUAGACCAGCGUCACAUAUAUUUUGUUAUGUGAGAGAUUAGACGUAUGUCCAUUUCGAUUAUUUUGAACAGAGAAAAGCAAUAAUUUGAGUUCUAAACGUACUUAAUCAAAUGUGUCCUAAAUAUCUCAAUUUAUUUAGGUGCAUCUCAGAUUAUUUUUUGAACAAUCAAA